rnacentral:rRNA from 1 species
GACAGCAGCCAUAUCACCCUGCAGCUCUAAACUGGCUAGCCACUAAAGCUAAGCAGGGUCGAGCCUGGUCAGUACCUGGAUGGGAGACCUCCUGGGAAGCUAAGUUUGCUGCUGGAA